GAUGAAAAACGUAGCGAAAUGCGAUAAGUAAUGUGAAUUGCAGAAUUCAGUGAAUCAUCGAAUCUUUGAACGCACCUUGCACCCUUUGGCAUUCCGAAGGGUAUGCUCGUUUGAGUGUCAUUGUACUCUCACUCUCCCGAUGCUUUUGGAUCGGGAGUGGUGGACUUGGGUGUUGCUGCUUUGCUGUGGCUCGCCUCAAAUGGAGUAGUGCAACUCUUGGUUGGACAUAGUACGGCGUGAUAAGUGUCUUCGCCGGCGCCUCAUUAUAGAGGGUGGCCGAUCGGGAGCUCUGUGCUUCAAACCGUCUUCGGACAACAUCUGACAACUUGACCUCAAAUCGAGUAGGACUACCCGCUGAACUUAAGCAUAUCAAUAAGCGGAGGA
rnacentral:misc_RNA from 1 species